GAGUGAUUAGGGCGUGGAGGCGGGGGAAGACGGAGGGUGAGAGCGUUAAUGUGAAUUACUGGGCGUAAAGGGUGCGCAGGCGGCCGCGCAAGUCGAGUGUGAAAGCCCCGGGCUUAACUUGGGAAUUGCGCUCGAAACUACGUGGCUGGAGUGUGGCAGAGGAAGGUGGAAUUCCACGUGUAGCGGUGAAAUGCGUAGAGAUGUGGAGGAACACCAAUGGCGAAGGCAGCCUUCUGGGCCAACACUGACGCUCAUGCACGAAAGCGUGGGGAGCAAACAGGAUUAGAUACCCUGGUAGUC
rnacentral:rRNA from 1 species